UACGUAGGGGGCAAGCGUUGUCCGGAAUCAUUGGGCGUAAAGAGCGUGUAGGCGGCUUCACAAGUCCGCUGUGAAAACUCGAGGCUCAACCUCGAGCUGUCGGUGGAAACUGUGUGGCUAGAGUCCGGAAGAGGAGAGUGGAAUUCCCGGUGUAGCGGUGAAAUGCGCAGAUAUUAGGAGGAACACCGGUGGCGAAGGCGCCACUCUGGGCCGAAACUGACGCUGAGGAGCGAAAGCGUGGGUAGCAAACAGG
rnacentral:rRNA from 1 species